rnacentral:rRNA from 1 species
GGCGAACGCUGGCGGCGUGCUUAACACAUGCAAGUCGAACGGAAAGGCCCUGCUUUUGUGGGGUGCUCGAGUGGCGAACGGGUGAGUAACACGUGAGUAACCUGCCCUUGACUUUGGGAUAACUUCAGGAAACUGGGGCUAAUGCCGGAUAGGAGCUCCUGCUGCAUGGUGGGGGUUGGAAAGUUUCGGCGGUUGGGGAUGGACUCGCGGCUUAUCAGCUUGUUGGUGGGGUAGUGGCUUACCAAGGCUUUGACGGGUAGCCGGCCUGAGAGGGUGACCGGCCACAUUGGGACUGAGAUACGGCCCAGACUCCUACGGGAGGCAGCAGUGGGGAAUAUUGCACAAUGGGCGGAAGCCUGAUGCAGCAACGCCGCGUGCGGGAUGACGGCCUUCGGGUUGUAAACCGCUUUCGCCUGUGACGAAGCGUGAGUGACGGUAAUGGGUAAAGAAGCACCGGCUAACUACGUG